UUAUAAAAGGUUAGACAGGUUAUCCUCUCCUUUGAUACAACCAGAGAGAGAGAGAGGACUUCUCCCACUACUCACCAUUUAGAGAAGAGAGAGAACUUCUCCCACUACCUACCAUUUAGAAAGAGGGAGAGAGAACUUCUCCCACUACUCUACCAUUUAGAGAGAGAGACUUCCUAGCAGCCACAAUUCCCCAACCCCACUAGAGGUGUUGUGUCUGGUAGUGUCAGAGACAAUUGACCAGUCAGAGACAAUAUGACCGGGCAGAGACAAUAUGACCAGUCAGAGACAAUAUGACCAGUCAGAGACAGGGCAGAGACAAUAUGACCAGUCAGAGACAAUAUGACCAGUCAGAGACAGGGCAGAGACAAUAUGACCAGUCAGAGACAAUUGACCAGGUC
rnacentral:lncRNA from 1 species